GGUAAGACCCAAAUUCAGUCUGUAUGUUUUUUUUAUAGCUGUAUCACGCACUGAGAACUCAUUUCCCAAAUCUUUAUCAAUGCUCUAAAUGGCUCCUAGUCACAAAAUGAGAGUAGACACUUAACCACUUGGAGGUCAUGCAAGCAUUCAUGUGCUUUAAGUUCAAAUUUUGGUACUUCAGGGGUUCUGAACACCUGCUGCUCUUCCUAGCUGGUAUGGGAGCUGUAGGAACUCAUAUGCUUGUGAAGAUCAGACCCCUCAUCUCGAGGUGCUCUUAUUCACAGUGGGGAAGUGAGUAGUCCUUUGCUCCGUUUUCAGUUUUUGUAACAUUUUAAUGUAACUCAACAAACUGAUAGUGCACUGAUAUUGAACUGGUUUCAGCUGGCUGGUGCAGUGCUCUGUUUUGGAUUUAGUAUGAGAAUUAUGUUGAUAACACACUGAUGUUUUAGUUGUUGCUAAGUAGUGCUUACUCUGAAUCAAGGACUUUUCACUGUCUCAUGCUCUGCCAGUGGGCAAGUGCACAAGAAUCUGGAGGGAGCAUGGCCAGGACAGUUGACCUGAAGUAGCCAAAGGGAUAUUCCAUACCACAGAACUGCCCAGUGUAUAAACUGCUGGAGUUUGGCUGGGAGCUGAUAUCAGUGCUUGGGGGUAGGCUGAGCAGUGUGUGGUGAACAAAUGUAUUGAGCAUCACAUGUUUCUGCUGGGUUUUAUUUACACACCCCUUAGCUCCCCAGUGUUUUUCCUUACAAUUGUUAUUAUCUUAAUAUUUUCUUUUGUUUCAAUCAUUGCUCAUCUCAACAGAAGAGGUUUACUUUUUCUUCUAAUUCACCUCACCAUCCGUGCAGGUGGGGAAGUGAGCAAGUGGCUGUGUGGUACUUGAUUGCCACCUGGGGUUAAACUGUGAGAGACAGAGACACUUUCAACAGAGCACUGCUGAGUACUUAUGAGUUCAGACAGGUCAGAACUGCUUUGUUUGCUGGGCAGCUUUUCUUUCCUAUUUUCUUUCCCCAAAGAUACUCAGGGACUGAACUCCUGAGCUUUCUAAAUUAUCACUGAUGGAGAAGCAGGACCUCAGCAGCAGUUGGGCUAAGGUAGUCAGCUUCUAGAUGUAGCUCUCACACUUUGGCAACUUAGUUGAGAAGAGCUAGAGUGAUGCUCAGAAAAAAAAAUUAAUAUCAAAUAAUCAGUGAUCUUGUGUGCAUGUAUUUUGGUUAUUCAUGUGCCAAAUUUUCCUGGUGAACUAGCAUAGAAAAGUGCAAGGGGCAUGGCUGAGUACAAAGUUUUAUGGGUGUCUUGAACUACAGCUCACAGACUUGAGCUACACAAGUUAUUGUGAGUGAAAUUUACAAUAUAAUGGCUCACCUUUGCACAAGAGUUAAUUUUAUAUAGUAUGAUCAUAUGUCAACAAAAAAAGCCCCAAAACAUUGGACUGAUGGUGGAACGCAAAUAUUGUGUGACUCUGAAUCUCACUUGGUAUUUUAAACCAUGAGAGUUUAGAUCUGAGUCAUCGUAACUUGUAAGUAGGAGAUAUAUAUAUAUGUGUCUGCAUAUAUAGCAUGCAGGCUAUAAACAAGGCUUCUGUCUUGGGGUCAUUUUCCCCUCAAAUUGCAGAUUUCAUUCUCUGUUAAUCAUUAUAGCCUUAAUCAAAAGUCAGAAGUCAGCUUAGUUCCUUCCAAAGUUUGAAAACAAACCUGGACUAGAAAUCUUUACAGGCUACUACUUUCUUCUCUGUUUCACCCCUUUGAUUUUCAGAGCCCUUGGGCCAUCAGACCACGUUACACUUUUCUUACACCCCUGCUUCUCCACAGUGCUUCCUGCAUGAAGCUGGUGUUAGAAUUUGCCCAACCUCUAAUUUGUCCCAGCAGAGCACUCUAAUCUUGCAUUAGAAGCAGAAAAAAUUGUUAGCACUGCUAAAAGAACAUCUUUAACCCAAGAUCUUUAUUGGACAGCUCCUGUAGUUAAAGCAAGAGAUGGAGAAGAUGGCACACAAUUGCCUGCUAGUAGCCCCAGGGGCACAUGUGGGGAAAAGUUUUUUUCUUCCUUUUUACCUUUUAACUCAUCACUUGACUUUAAACAUGCAUCUAGCCAAGCUAUGCAGAGAGUGACUUGCUGAACAGAAGACUGUAAGGUAGGAUUAGAGGCUCUGUUUAAGAAAAAAUCUGCUUCAGUCUAGAGAACAAUCCCACCACAAAAUAAAAUUAACUUUAAAAGUAAUGAGAUUUUCCACUGUUAACUUAAUAGCAGCAAACCACAUGUUCUAAACAAUGUUCUAAUUUUCUUUUUUUUUUUUUUUAUAAGGACUCAUUUUUAGUAACAAACCCCAGACUAUUAGCCCUGCCAUUUUUCCACUGCUGGAGGAAAAUAUGGACUCCUGCUGAUCUGUAUGAUUGGUUAUUCAUACUUCCUGGCAGUGGUUAUAAGAGGAGGAUGACUGAGAAUUUAGUAGGUGAGUUAAUCUCAUUUUUACUGUGUCUCAAGAGCCACCCACUUUCCCUUCAUAUGACUCGAUACCAGAAAAUUCUUACAAGUUUUGCAGAGUGAGACCAAAAUUUUGACCUUCUUCUUUUCUGCCCUGUUUUUGUUGCUCCCCUUUAUUCUUCUGUACAUUUCUCAUUUUCCAGCCCCUCUCACCAGCCCAACACUCAGCUCACCUCCACAUAUGCCUUCUCCCUGCAGAUGCUUGGUGGAAUUGCCCAGGGGGCAUUUGAGGUCAGGGAGUCAAGAACACCAGCAGAGAGUGGUUAGCUGGCUGCUGACUCAAAGGGAUGAAGCCCUGAGGUCCCCAGCAAAACCCCAUCUGUAGGUCUAUGCCCUGAAAAUGAGCUCCUAAUGUCCAUAAGGAAUCACGCGAACAUCAGAGCUGCCGAGAGCAGGUGGAUUUGUGUAACAGGGCUUCCACAUCUUGAGGUGUCCAUGCAGACCUAGUCCCCUGACUGAGCAAGAUGGGACGGGGAAAGCUGCAGACUCAGACGUCUCAUGGCAAAGGAGGUUUCACCCUGUCCCUGCUCGAGUCACUGCUCUGGUUGGCCUGAGUCCUUGACGCUCUUCUUGUGCUACAGAGAAGUGACUCAGAGGAACAUGGAGACACAGCCGACACUUGUAAGAAGUGGUUUUAAUAAGAGGAGACAAGUCAUCAUCCCAGCUGUGCAAUCCUUGCUGAAGUCAAAGGGUCGGGAAAGAAAGGCCCCAUUUGUCCUGAGGAGCAGCACACACAUGUAUACCGAAGGAGGAUAGUGAUGUAUUUAGACUAGAAGUUCCCCAGACCUAAACGAGACAUUUGUUUGCUUAACUUCAUUGUUCUUCCCUUCUCUCAGCACUUGUCCUCAGCUGGCUGCAGCAAUCCCUGUGGAGCUCUGCAGUGGCAUCCACCUUGAAACCAGGGGAAAGAAAGUUCCUGCUCCCCAAACCCUCUCCUGCUCCCAAGUGCUGGCAGAAAACCUCUCCGAGCUGCCCUGUACAAGCUGGCCACAGGGCACAGGGCAGCACCGAAGGCAGGAGGACUCAGACACUGUUGUCUCUAUUUGCUGCAUUGUGCAGAGACUUCUUAAUGUGACUAAUAGCUCUUGGCAUUGAGCUGUUGCUCCUGAAGUGCAGAGCUGGCAUGUCCAUGCGCCAAUGUUUAAAGUAAUGUGUCAGAAAAGUUUUAUAGUAGCAGCCCAGUAUUGUUGGGGGAGAAGAAGCCUGUUUAAAU